GAUGAACGCUGGCGGCGUGCCUAAUACAUGCAAGUCGAGCGAACGGACGAGAAGCUUGCUUCUCUGAUGUUAGCGGCGGACGGGUGAGUAACACGUGGAUAACCUACCUAUAAGACUGGGAUAACUUCGGGAAACCGGAGCUAAUACCGGAAAAUAUUUUGAACCGCAUGGUUCAAAAGUGAAAGACGGUCUUUCUGUCACUUAUAGAUCGAUACGCGUUGCAUUAGCUAGUUGGUAAGGUAACGGCUUACCAACGCAACGAUGGAUAGCCGCCCUGAACGCGUCGUUGGUUACCCGGUAUGAGAGGCACGUCCCAGACUCUUACAGUGGGCAGCAGUCGAGACUCCUACGCGAGGGGGCAGAGCCUAACAGAGCAAAGUCGCGUGAGUCAUGAAGGUGCUAGGAUCGGUAAACUCUGUUAUUAGUGAAGUUGAUAUGUGUAAGUACCAGUGAACAUCUUGACGGUACCUAGUCAGAAAGCCCCGGCUAACUCCGUG
rnacentral:rRNA from 1 species